rnacentral:rRNA from 1 species
AGCGUAGGUGGCCUAACAUGUCAACUGUGAAAAACCCGGAGCUCAACUCCGGACUUGCAGUUGAAACUGGUAGGCUUGAGGACGGUGGAGGAAGACGGAACUGCCAGUGUAGGGGUAAAAUCCUUAGAUAUUGGCAGGAACGCCGGUGACGAAGGUGGUUUUCUGGGCCGGUUCUGACACUGAUGCUCGAAAGCCAGGGGAGCGAACG